rnacentral:lncRNA from 1 species
AUGGAGAGAUUAGCAACCAUUUGGAUAGCAGUGAAUUAUGCCCAUCACACCUGCACAAAAGGAAAGAACAUCUCAGUUUUACCAAGCAAAGCAGGAAAGUGCUUGUCACCAUCUAACAUAAAUGCUUAUCAGAUCACAAACCAAUUGAUAAUAAAGUGGGACCUGCCCACAGCUCAUACACCAUAUGAGCUGAGAUACAGAGAGGCACUCACAGAAUCUACUCCAUGGACAGUGGUGGCUGUAGGAAGCAAUGUUGUCAAUGUCACCAUUUCAAAUUUAAAUGCUAUGUCUUCAUACAUUGUUCAGUUCAGAUGCAUCACCAAGGAUGGUCUCAACUGUGUUUGCAUUUGGAGCAAAGAGAUUUUGGUCCCUCACAGUAAGUGAAAUGUAG